rnacentral:lncRNA from 1 species
AUUCUCUUAGAAGUUUCAAGAUAGUUGGCUUCUGAAAAUUACCAUGCAUCCCUUUUGCCUUAGCUCGUGAAAGCUACCAUGCAUCUUUUUUAUUUUAUUUCUUAAGUUUUAAGAGAGUUUAUUCAUCUAUCUUCUUCAAUUUAUCAAUAUGGAAGGUUUUAGAAAGUUGUCACAUGUCCUUUUUACAUCUUCACUCAAAAAAUUAGAGAUUGCUAGUGUAUCUCUUUCAAAUUGUUGGUUUUAAAAGGUUCAAGAAAGUUAUCAUGUUUCUCUUUUAUUUUAGUUAACCAGAAGCUUCGACAUUGUUUGACCGCCAUGUCCUCUUCAAAUUAUUCAAAAAAAUUGGCACUAGCAGCAGUAUUGUAAUGUUUUUCUAUAACUGAUUAUAGAUAUUUCUACCUUAUUGGUGUCCCAGUUACAAGAGAAUAUGCUAACCACAGAUUUUUAUAUAUAGUGUUUGAGAAAAAUUUUAACACUAAUAGUAUUCGAUGAUAUUUUAUAACUAGAUGCAUGUAUUUUUUUAACAUAAUUAGAACAAAACUUUUAAACAAGUGUGGCCACAUAUCCAUUUUAUAAUGCUGAUGCAAAGAGUUAAAGAAAGCUUCUACUAUUGGCACUAUCAUAACUUUUUCUAUGACUAUAUAUUAUGCUGUGUCUAUUCUUCCUCAUUGGUUUGGAAAUUCUAAGAAAGUUUGCGCACUUGCUCUCUCCAAAUUAUUAAUGCAGAAAGUUCAACAAAAAUGAUAAUACUAGUAAUCUCGCAUUGUUUCUUUAUGAAAUGAAUAACAUGUAUAUAUACCGAUAUUCUUUCUCAUCUUGUUGUCGCAGGUACUUAAAAGAGUUUGCUGAUGUAUCCUCUUAAUGUUGCUAGUAGAGCAAGUUGUAAUCUCGUAAUGUUUUUCUAUGAAUGAACAAUGUAUAUAUCAAUAUUCUUCUUCAUUUCUUUGGUGCAUAUACUCAGAAUGUUUGCUGUUGUAUCCUCCUUGCGUUGCUAGUGAAGAAAAUUUAAUUUUUACUUCUAACAAUAUCUUAAACCACACGGAUUCACUUAGUACAUAUUAACUCUAUUAGCCAAUGGUCUAGAAGUUUAUAUAU